rnacentral:snRNA from 1 species
AUAAUUACCUGGCUGGAGAUAUACAUUAAUCAAGAAGAUGGUUCUCCUGGUUCAGCAAUUACACUCCAGUUGUGCUGACCCCUGUGAAUUCCCCAGAUGUGGGAAUUGCGACUGUAUAAUUUUGGGUAGUGGGGUACUGCAUUUGUGCUUUUCCCAG